GAGGCCGAAGUGAUGAUUGCCAAAUUCAAUGCAUAGUUCACCUGAAUUAUCCUUGAUGACAAAGAAGCCAUCUUAUCUUUCGCCCCUAUCUGAUCUCCUUA
rfam:Nannochloropsis gaditana strain B-31 chromosome 11, whole genome shotgun sequence.